AGAGUUUGAUCAUGGCUCAGGAUAAACGCUGGCGGCGCGCCUAACACAUGCAAGUCGAACGGAGCUGAGAGGAGCUUGCUUUUCUUAGCUUAGUGGCGAACGGGUGAGUAACGCGUGAGUAACCUGCCCUGGAGUGGGGGACAACAGUUGGAAACGACUGCUAAUACCGCAUAAGCCCACGGAUCCGCAUGGAUCUGCGGGAAAAGGAUUUAUUCGCUUCAGGAUGGACUCGCGUCCAAUUAGCUAGUUGGUGAGGUAACGGCCCACCAAGGCGACGAUUGGUAGCCGGACUGAGAGGUUGAACGGCCACAUUGGGACUGAGACACGGCCCAGACUCCUACGGGAGGCAGCAGUGGGGGAUAUUGCACAAUGGGGGAAACCCUGAUGCAGCGACGCCGCGUGGAGGAAGAAGGUUUUCGGAUUGUAAACUCCUGUCGUUAGGGACGAUAAUGACGGUACCUAACAAGAAAGCACCGGCUAACUACGUGCCAGCAGCCGCGGUAAAACGUAGGGUGCAAGCGUUGUCCGGAAUUACUGGGUGUAAAGGGAGCGCAGGCGGACGGGCAAGUUGGAAGUGAAAACUAUGGGCUCAACCCAUAAAUUGCUUUCAAAACUGCUGGCCUUGAGUAGUGCAGAGGUAGGUGGAAUUCCCGGUGUAGCGGUGGAAUGCGUAGAUAUCGGGAGGAACACCAGUGGCGAAGGCGACCUACUGGGCACCAACUGACGCUGAGGCUCGAAAGCAUGGGUAGCAAACAGGAUUAGAUACCCUGGUAGU
rnacentral:rRNA from 1 species